rnacentral:rRNA from 1 species
UUUCCGUAGGAUAACCUGCGGAAGGAUCAUUA